rnacentral:lncRNA from 1 species
AGCAGGUUGGGGAGAGGAGGCAAACAUUCCCAGUGUCAGAGAAGUUUGGUGAGUCUUCGUCAUUUUUGCCCUAGGGGCACAGGGACAUUUGAGUUUCUCCCUUGAGGCAUGGGAAAGACGGGUAAGUGGGUAUUGGAGCCGCUGGGCCUGGCAGAGGAAAUAAGCUGAGUCACAGGACUUACUCCACUCCUAUCACCUCAUCUCUGCCUGACAUUGGGGCCAUUCAUCAGCAGGACAUUCAAAGACAAACAGGAAGGGCAUUUAGAAGAAAGAAUGAGAAUCAGGACACCUCCAAUUACCCAGCCAUUUACAAAGAUUCUUUGCAACCAGGGGCUUGUCUACCUGGUGGGCAGAGGAAGAAAACUUUGCAUUUGGCUGUUUGGAUACUCCCAAGUAACACAUCCAGCCAUUUGUAUCUGUAGAGACACAGGUGUGGAAAAGAUCAGCACUUGGAUUCAAUCUGGGUUGAAGUUUUGCCAGCCAAAGAACAAAAACAAAGAAAAACUGUGUCUGAGAAGGAGGAAGUCAGGAGCGACAACUACAAAACUAGAAGUGUGUGGCUGAGAUGCUUCUCUUCAUUCCCCCAGCUCCAUGUGCCUUUAAAACAAAGUACCAGGUUCUCAAGGGAUCAUGAAUGAUUCUUUUUUCCUCUCAUCCAAAUGCCCGCAGAGAGCCAGAGGACAAGAGAUGUCCCAGUGACCCAUCUGACUCGAAACUCUGUGUGUUCAGCAAGGCAUAGCACAACUGCCCAAAGCAAGGGACCAGGGGUGGGGGUGAAGGGUUGGGUGUGGGGAGAGAGUUGCUGCUCUGGAGCCCAACCUCUAUCUGUUGUAAAUGGCUGAACAGACACUUGCAGAAGGAGAGAUUUUGAGGGUCACUUGGAAAACCUGUAUGGAUUGUUUAAUAAUGUCUGCCAUAAGAACAGAGGUGGAGAGCAGUGGUACACAUACCAAGUAUCAGCCAUUUGUAAUCCAUAGAAAUCUACUGUAGGAAUUGAUUAGCAAUGUCUGCCAUGAGCAUAGAAGUGGAGAGUGGCAGUACAUAUGCUGUAUAUCUGCCAUUUGUGAACCAAGGAUGUUUUUGUGGAAAGCAUAUCAGUCCAGCUAGAUGGCAGUGUGGCUCUAAGUCAAUAGGGUAGAGUUUCAGUAGACCCCUGCCAAAAGAUAAAUCCAAAUCCUACUUUGCCCGUGUAUUAUACAGUGACUUUAACCAAAUGACUACAUCUCUUGG